rnacentral:rRNA from 1 species
GACGAACGCUGGCGGCGUGCUUAACACAUGCAAGUCGAACGGAAAGGCCCUGCUUUUGUGGGGUGCUCGAGUGGCGAACGGGUGAGUAACACGUGAGUAACCUGCCCUUUACUUUGGGAUAACUUCAGGAAACUGGGGCUACUACCGGAUAGGAGCUCCUGCUGCAUGGUGGGGGUUGGAAAGUUUCGGCGGUUGGGGAUGGACUCGCGGCUUAUCAGCUUGUUGGCGGGGUAGUGGCUUACCAAGGCUUUGACGGGUAGCCGGCCUGAGAGGGUGACCGGCCACAUUGGGACUGAGAUACGGCCCAGACUCCUACGGGAGGCAGCAGUGGGGAAUAUUGCACAAUGGGCGGAAGCCUGAGGCAGCAACGCCGCGUGCGGGAUGAAGGCCUUCGGGUUGUAAACCGCUUUCGCCUGUGACGAAGCGUGAGUGACGGUAAUGGGUAAAGAAGCACCGGCUAACUACGUG